rnacentral:lncRNA from 1 species
CGGAGGUGUAUCCAGUCAUAUUUUGCUUUUGGUAAUACUGUCAAUUUUAAGUGGUGAUAUCGAUCCUUCAAGUUGGUCCAUAAUUCAAGUGGAUCUUUCACAAUUAAAUAUUCAGUUUUUAAUUCUUCGUGGAGGUGAUGACGAAGAAAAAUCAUAACUUUUGCCUUAUCUUGACUUGAUGAGUUAUUUUCUUGUUUAAUAGUAUCCCCAAGACCUCUAGCGUCAAG